GACGAGCGCUGGCGGCGUGCUUAACACAUGCAAGUCGAACGGAAAGGCCCUGCUCUUGUGGGGUGCUCGAGUGGCGAACGGGUGAGUAACACGUGAGUAACCUGCCCUUGACUUUGGGAUAACUUCAGGAAACUGGGGCUAAUAUCGGAUAGGAGCUCCUGCUGCAUGGUGGGGGUUGGAAAGUUUCGGCGGUUGUGGAUGGACUCGCGGCUUAUCAGCUUGUUGGUGGGGUAGUGGCUUACCAAGGCUUUGACGGGUAGCCGGCCUGAGAGGGGGACCGGCGACAUUGGGACUGAGAUACGGCCCAGAAUCGUACGGGAGGCAGCAGUGGAGAAUAUUGCGGAAUGGGCGGAAGCCUGAUGCAGCAGCGCCGCGUGCGGGAUAACGGGUUUCGGGGUGUAAACCGAUUUGGCAGGAGACGUAGCGUGAGUGACGGUAAUGGGUAAAGAAGCACCGGCUAACUACGUG
rnacentral:rRNA from 1 species